UUAUUUAUUUAUUUAUUUUUUCCCGUGUCUUUGAGGCCUUUGCUGCUGUUCAGUCCUUUUUCUUUCGGAAACGGGACGCGUUUGGCUGCCCGCAUGAACGCCGGGCACUUGCUCGUAGCUUGCUUCCCUUUCAUCCAGGCGCUUUCUAUUCCCGAGUAGAAAGAGUUCCCCACCUCAGCCGGCCUUUAGGAGCGACCUCAAGGUGCUGUUGUGUGGAUAGGCACCUGGGACCUUUUUCUGGCAGUGUUGUUUCCUUCUGUUUUCGUGAUGGUGGUUUCCUGCAGUUUGCAAUCUCUGCCUGCCUUAGAAAAGCCCACUUGGGGCAAUUUGGAGAGUUGAGUUUAUUUCACUUGGUUUUUAUGGUCUUCCUAAAGGCCGGAGGUCAGAGUUCUUACUUAAAUCUUUUUUUUGUGUGUGUAUAUGUGUAGAAAGAAACAUGCAGGGGUGGCAUUUCUCUAUUCUCACUUCAGUAUCAAUUCGUGCCAUGCCUGUCAUCCACUGGUUCCCCUUAGUGUAACUUCAUGGGGGCUGUGAUGCUGAGGUUCCUAACUGAGACUGCAGGGACAGACAGCAGAGGCAGAGGAACUUCCUGUUACCGCAAACCUUCUGAAAAUCUGCACGUUUGUGAAGGAUUCAGAAAUAGCUGGGCCCUUUCUUUCCAAGGUCUUGGUGAAAACCUCGCCCUGAGAUCUGGGGAGAAAAGUUAUUUCAGCAAAACCCUCCAUUAAUUAGUAGUUAGAGUAGUUGUGUUAAUAAUGUGUUAAGUUCUGUCGGUUGUUGCUUUCUGGAACAUGUAGGCAUUGCAGAGAGAAUGUGGUAGGCAGAGCUUUCCUUGUGAUCAGAGAGAUAACUUCUAAACUUGCUUUUCAUGGAUGAGUUUUUAAACUUAGCUGUAUCCAUGGUCUUCAUUCGUGGGCAGCCUGAUAGAUGCUGAAGAGAUCCCAUGGGCUGGAUGUAGAGCUGAGGUCUGUGCAUGUGGACUCUUCUUUAAAGGGAUUGGCCCAGGCAUGGGAACUUCAGCUCUCCUGGAGCUGUUGCUGAUCCCUGUUCUAGGAGAUACUAGAAUCAGUCUGAAGCUGCUCUUUAAUUGUGUUUGGUAGUAGUGUGUUAGCUUCACCUUAUGGAAAACAAAACCUCCUUAUAGGCAAAUGAAUAUGCCUCAACCAGAACCAAUUUGUGUGACACUCGUGAUCAGCUUCAUGACUGUUCAGAAAAGACAUUUUAGCAAGAAGAGAUGGAAACGUGGUCCUGUGACUUACGGGGAGGAGGAGACUGCAAUUAGCAUUCAGUGUAUUAAAUAACAGUAUAUUAUGAUAAGCUAUUAACAGUAUUUUAUCAGAGGUUAUCUUGCAUCUGCAUUUCACUUUUUCUGUGCUUUGUAUAUGUGGAGUUACUUAGGACCAGCGAGGCUUAUUGUGGUAAUUGAAGUUUCUCUUGUGCGGAAUAAUUAACAACUAAUGAUCAUGCUGAGAUGCAGUGACUGGGGAGAAGAAUGAGGCCAAGUAAUUUACAGCGCUUAAAAAAACGGAGUUGCAGUGGAAUGAGUGAAGCUUUGUUUUCAGGGACCUGUGUACACUGGAAAACUCUAAACGAAAUACUUAAUGUUCAUUGUCACACUGGGUGCAUCCAGCUUUGGAGGAUUCUCAUGCAUGGAGGAACUGGACGUCAGCUGGUCUAAAGCAAAAUUCCCCAUCCUACAGAGGUUACAUCAGCUUCCAGUACGACUUUAUCUCUAUUUAGGGUCAUUGUAGAGAUCCUCAACCAUCCUAAGAGAUGAGUUGCUCUUUCUUAGCAGCGUUACUCCUUUCUAGCCCACUGUAGAUCAGCAAAAUUAAUUCAGAGGGCAUCACGGAUGUGCUUCUUUGUUAACGACUGGUCAGAAAAGUUCAAAAAGAAGUAAAAUGGGAUUUUUGUUUCUUACGACCUUCAAGUAUGAAUCUGGGGGAAAACUUUAUUUCGGGAGCAUGUAAGUACUGGAAUUAUCCAGUCCUGUUUCUCAAAGUUCUGUCAAACUGCUCUGUGUUUAUGAAGAGACCGUAAAACUUAAGUGGCUUUGGUCUUCUGUGUCGAAAAAGCUUUUUAUAAGGCUGUGCAGCUGUAAAGAACUUCUCUUAAGAGCAAAUUGAUGGCGUGUACAUGACACAACUUGAGUGUCUCAUCUUAAUGCAGUGAUGUGAAAAGCAUGUUAAUGGCAAGGCUGCAGGCUUCUGCAACAGUGCUGGAACCCCACAGGAAAAUAACUUGGGAAGGUUUGCUGCAAAUCUGUCCUGCACCGUGAUUAGAAGUACUCCUAAACACAUGUUAUGCCUCCAUAAAACCUUGUUGAUUAUAACAAGCACUGCUUUGAUAUGUCUGUAAAGGGGAUAAUAAGCUAAACAAUGUAGAUGAGAUUAGCUGUAUCUUCAUCCUCAUGGUUACUAUUGCCUUAGAGGGAUUGUAGCAUCAGUUUUUCAGGGACGGUGUUGCAAAAGCCAUUGUUUGAUUAUUUCCAGUAAAAAUCACUUUUGCAAGAGUCUCCUUUCAAAUGCACACGUAAGAUUUCAGCGUUGAUGGAUAAAACUAUGUAAUUUUAUAUUCCCAAGCACUUUAAUGGAAGUGUCGAUUUAAAAUCUUGCUGACUGUGACACUGAAGCCAGCCUGCAUCUUCUAAUAAAAUGAAAUCCACCUCGUAACAAAAUGCUGCUUUGUGGAAUUUCCCCAUAAAGUACUAGCUGUUGCAAGGCAUGAUUGACUGCACAUUUCACCUUGAUUAAUGGUGGAAUACACAGAAUGCAGCAGUCAGGGUAAUGAUAAGUAUUUUGCAAGACAGGCCGUUUCCUUAAUCUCAGUGUAAAGGAUUACUUCGUUCGUUUGCAUUCUGAUGAUGGAAUCCAGAAUCUCACUUGCUGUCUCCAUCUGAAAGGAAGGAGGUGACGCUGCUGUCAAACUCGUGCAUCUAUUUAUGCAGUCAGUGUGAAGUUCUCAGUAAAUUCUUCUAUAUCUCCACUCCUUCAAAGCUGGGAUAAGCCACUUGACGCUUCGUGUGGUGCUGCUUCCACCAGCAGUAAUGUUAAGGUGAAAAUAAAGAGCAAGCAACUGGGCACAGAGCGAGUUGCAGCUUGUUGUGGUGGCUGAGGCACAGCUGCAAGAUACAUUCAGUUUUUAGUUAAGAUUGGACCUGUGUUGGAGUACGUGGUUAUAAACUCUGUGUUGCAGCGAUUAAGGAAGAUAAACACAAAGCGCUGCACUUCGAGUUGUGCACCUCCUAGAAUUGGUGCCCCAAACUCUGUAAGUAUUGUGUGCUGGACCGCUAUUUAACAGCUGAAAGGGCACUACUAAACAGGUCUUAAAUCUACAUUAUGAUUGCAGGUGUGUUCUCCUUAAUACGUUACGUCACGUCCUUUGUCUGUCAGUCCUUGAGUCCAGAAUCGGUGCAGUACAGCAGUGUGGAUUAAAGUCAGGGGUUCUGUGUUCUUCAGAACUUAACCUUUUCAUUACAAGUAGGAAGGAGAAUUCUCACUUUUUUUUUUUUUCUCUGAAAAGAGAGCUCCCUCUCAAAAGUGGAAGUGAUGCGUCUCUGCCAACCUGCUGGUUUGUACUAAUCGAGGGAGAGGGGAGGAACACUCCCACUUGGGCAGUGGGUUUUUUUUCCUUUUCAUUUUUGUAUGAGAAUCUUUCUGUUCAUGAGCUUCACGGUUCAGUCUUCCAUGUGGAAUUUGGAUAACCAAGUGAAUAGUCUUCAACAUGAAUAUUAUAACUGAACUCAGCCUUCCUGGAUGCGGGGUUUCCUUGCUUUAAGCAAGCCAUACUCUCUCAGUGGGUAAGUGUAUGUGUAGUAUGUUAGAUGGCAGAGGUGGAACUAGAAUGAUGGAAAUUCAGGUGCUUCACUGUGGCUCUCAGAAAGGAAUUUUUAGAGUCGUAGAGUCAUUUAAAGUUGGAAGAGACCACUACGAUGAUCUCAUCCAACUGUUGUGUACUGUUGGCUCGCUAAUGUGUACAUUGAUUCUUCUUUCCAGAAUAUGGUAUCAAGUUUUCGUGUUUCUGAACUUCAAGUAUUGUUGGGCUUUGCUGGGCGUAAUAAAAGUGGACGGAAACAUGACCUCCUGAUGAGGGCUCUGCACUUACUGAAGAGUGGCUGCAGCCCAGCAGUGCAGAUAAAAAUCCGAGAACUCUAUAGGCGUCGGUACCCAAGGACGAUUGAAGGACUUUCAGACUUAUCAGCUAUAAAACCUGCAGUUUUCAAUCUGGAUAGCAGUUCCUCUCCCGUGGAGCCUGACCUGGCUGUUGCUGGCAUUCACCCACUCCCUUCUACUUCGGUCACACCUCAGUCUCCUUCCUCACCCGUCAGCUCCGUGCUCCUUCAGGACACUAAGGCUCACUUUGAGAUGCAGCAGCCAUCGCCUCCCAUCCCACCUGUCCAUCCUGACGUCCAGCUGAAGAGCUUGCCUUUUUACGAUGUGCUUGAUGUACUCAUAAAGCCUACAAGUCUAGUACAGAGCAGUAUUCAGCGGUUCCAAGAGAAGUUUUUUAUCUUUGCUUUAACACCCCAGCAGGUCAGAGAAAUCUGUAUUUCCAGGGACUUCUUGCCGGGGGGCAGGAGAGAUUACACAGUCCAAGUUCAGCUAAGGUUAUGCCUAGCAGAGACAAGCUGUCCUCAAGAAGAUAAUUACCCUAAUAGUUUGUGCAUUAAAGUAAACGGGAAGCUGUUUCCAUUGCCGGGAUAUGCUCCACCGCCAAAAAACGGAAUUGAACAGAAGCGACCUGGGCGCCCCCUGAAUAUAACCUCUCUAGUUAGGUUGUCAUCAGCAGUGCCAAACCAGAUUUCCAUUUCCUGGGCUUCUGAAAUUGGAAAGAGUUACUCCAUGUCUGUGUAUCUCGUUCGUCAGCUCACUUCAGCUAUGCUUUUGCAGAGGUUAAAAAUGAAGGGUAUCAGAAACCCUGAUCAUUCCAGAGCACUAAUUAAAGAGAAACUAACAGCAGAUCCUGACAGUGAGAUUGCCACCACCAGUCUGCGGGUAUCUCUGAUGUGUCCUCUGGGGAAAAUGAGACUCACAAUCCCAUGCCGGGCCGUUACUUGCACACACCUGCAGUGUUUUGAUGCUGCUCUUUAUCUCCAAAUGAAUGAAAAGAAGCCUACCUGGAUCUGUCCUGUCUGUGACAAAAAGGCAGCUUAUGAGAGCCUAAUACUAGAUGGACUCUUCAUGGAAAUCCUUAAUGAAUGUUCAGAUGUAGAUGAGAUUAAAUUCCAGGAAGAUGGUUCCUGGUGCCCUAUGAGGCCUAAAAAAGAUGCUGUGAAAGUCUCAAGUCCACAGUGCACCAAAAUAGAAAGUUCCAGUGUUGUUAGCAAACCAUGUUCUGUGACAGUGGCCAGUGAGGUAAACAAGAAGAAAGUUGAUGUUAUUGACUUGACAAUUGAAAGCUCUUCUGAUGAAGAGGAAGAUCCUCCUGCCAAAAGGAAGUGCAUAUUCAUGUCUGAAACACAAGGAAGCCCAACCAAAGGGGUUCUCAUGUAUCAGCCAUCCUCUGUCAGAGUGCCCAGCGUUACAACAGUUGAUACUGCUGCAAUUCCUCCGUCGUUAACAGACUACCCUGUGCCAUUCCACCACCCUCCAAUGUCCAGCAUUUCCUCAGACUUGCCAGACAAACCCUAAAUGCCUAUGAUGUAUUCUUCAACACUGCUGCUAAAUAUCAGACAAAAGGUGGGGAUACUGAUUGUUUUCUAUCCUGGCUCCUUGAAAAGAACGCUGUGUGUAGGGACUCUGGGGGUUCUCUGUCGGCUGUAGUGAACCUAGAGCCCAGGAAAUGGUGACUUGUGACAGCAGGUGUCACGUGGGCCUCCUGUCCUUCCCUGCCCCGCUCCAUUGCCUGUCUCCAUUUCUCCCCUGCUGCAUCUCUGGGUUUUUUUCAUCUUCUUUCAGUUUGGCACUGGGAUGGAUAUCAUUCCCCUUGUUUCUUUGUCCAUUUUGGUUGCCUCACUGCUCCCUCCCUCCACUUCUCCCUUGUUAAGAAAUUCAUUUUCUUUCCAAAUUGGCUAGAAGACUAAGCCGAGAGAAUGGAAGUCUAGAACUUUCUUCAUCUCUACCAACUGAAGUUCUAGCAUAUGUAUGAACAAAAGCUGUGAAUUCUGUAAAAGCCGCUGAUCUUACAUCUCCUUUAAAAUUUGUCUUUAAUUAUCUCUAAUGGAGGAGAAGAGUAGAGAUGCCACUGGCUGGAACAGCUCUGUACUGUGACAAGAGAGGGAGGGAGAAAGCCUACCAUUUCUUUCUGUUGGCAUAGCAAACACAAGGCCAAGAUUUUGAAAUAGAAAUGGCUGUGAUUUCUCAUUGAUUUUGUGUCUUUUAAACAUCUUGCCCUAAGUGCUUAUGUGCUAAUGGCAUAGAGGACGGGCGCUGGUUGUCACUGCUCAUAGAGGAUUACCUUGAACUACUUGUAGUUUCCUCUUCUUCAUUCCUUUUAUUUGUCUAGACGCAAAACGGGGAUGAUAUUAGAAAUGUUUCCUUAUUGGCUGCCUAUGGGUGGAGGAAGAGACCUGCUGCUUGUUUUUGGACUUGUGCAUGUUGUGACUUUACUUCAUUCCAGCAUCCUUAAUGUGAUGACACUCUUCAUGUCCCAGUUUGGCCAAGUCAGGUACAAUAUGCAGUGAAACUUGUGUUAUGAACAACAGCUCCAAAUGGCAACCUCCAUCUAAGCAACCACAUUGAACCACCCUGCAAUAUCCAGUGAAUAAUACAUCAUUGUCAUCCUCAUUCUUAAAAAGAGCCACUUGUACUAGAAAACGUGUUUUGCUGCUGCCUGAAGUCGUUGAGAGUGGUGUCACAGUGGUAUACUUCAUUUAGAAACCGUAUAGCAAUUGCAAAAUCUGUUCUACGACAACAACAGAAAUUCCUUAAACUUAUUGUGUGUGAAGAGAAGGAAGACAUGUCCGUUUAUUAUCCCUCUUUUCUUUCUAGGUUUGGAUUUCCUUUCACUAAUUCCAGUUGAAUCACAGUACUGUCCUCCUAUGUUUUUGGAUAGUCUCACCUCAACCUUAACAAGCAACACGCCUGGCAGCAUCAUCACAUCGACCAGUCACCACGAGAGCAACACGCACGUUAGCUCC